rnacentral:snRNA from 1 species
GGAUGUGAGGGUGAUCUGGCUGCGACAUCCAUCACCCCAUUGAUCCCCAGGGUUGAUUCGGCUGAUCUGGCUGGCUAGGCAGGUGUCCUCGUCCUCCCUCACUGCUCCAUGUGAGUCCCUUCUGAAGCUGAUGCUCGGUCGAACAGGAUAGGAUGACCUUCCCCAAUAGAGGAGAGAACCGUUCUUUGGUCAAGGGUAUACGAGUAGCUACGCUCCCCUGCUAGAACCUCCAAUCAAUAUACUAGAGUGAUUUGAAAAUAAUAAUAAAAGUGAGAUAUUUCAUGGAAAAGUUUGGAGGUAAAGUGAGGACUGUAAUCCGCGAGUUAUCCUGGGGUAAACGC